rnacentral:rRNA from 1 species
ACUCCUACGGGAGGCAGCAGUGGGGAAUAUUGCACAAUGGGCGCAAGCCUGAUGCAGCCAUGCCGCGUGUGUGAAGAAGGCCUCGGUUGUAAAGCACUUUCAGUCGUGAGGAAGGUAGUGUAGUUAAUAGCUGCAUUAUUUGUACGUUAGCGACAGAAGAAGCACCGGCUAACUCCGUGCCAGCAGCCGCGGUAAUACGGAGGGGUGCGAGCGUUAAUCGGAAUUACUGGGCGUAAAGCGCAUGCAGGUGGUUUGUUAAGUCAGAUGUGAAAGCCCGGGGCUCAACCUCGGAAUAGCAUUUGAAACUGGCAGACUAGAGUACUGUAGAGGGGGUAGAAUUUCAGGUGUAGCGGUGAAAUGCGUAGAGAUCUGAAGGAAUACCGGUGGCGAAGGCGGCCCCCUGGACAGAUACUGACACUCAGAUGCGAAAGCGUGGGGAGCAAACAGGAUUAGAUACCCUGGUAGGACAGUG